rnacentral:piRNA from 1 species
UCUGUUGAUAAAUCAGUACCCUGUGGC